rnacentral:lncRNA from 1 species
UGAAGAAAUGCUAAUAGACAGACCACAUGCUUCAUUCAAUUGCACCAAAUGAGAGCCUAGCUCAUAAAAGUAUCUAACCAAAUCAAAUUCUACUUUGAAUAUAAAUUUAAUACCAAAUGUGCAAAAUUUCAAAGUACCUAAUGAUCGAGAACCAAUUCAUCUAGAGUGUGAACAUUCAGUACCAACCUCUAAGGCAUAAAUUGUUAGAACAAAAGUUUGAGAUAAAAUCAGCACAAGAAACAAUGAAGCUUGACCCGCCCAAAAUGAUGGUUGGGUCAUCAACGCCAUGGCCUCUAUGGACCAUCAUUGAUAGGUGAUUCUGCCACUGACGCUAUAGAACAUCAGUGGGUAUUGUUAAUGCUUGGUAGAGUUCCAUUUCUCCUUAAGCUUUUAGGGAACCUGAAAACAAAAUUUAAAACAUUCAGAACUCAUAUACUCAUAGCAUCAUACCAUAAAGUUGAUGUACUCUUUGCUAAUUAUAUAUAUAACUGCAGGAAUCUUAAUUCUCUUACUUAAAAAAUUGUUAGGCAUAUGUUACCUAAUAUCUGAGCAGGCAUUCAAAUCCUUACUUUGGAUCAUGAUGUCUGAUGUGUACAAGAGAAUAUGGACAUAUUACAUACAUAUGGUCAUGGUGAUCCUCCUGCCCUAAAAGCAAAAGAAACUAGCAAAAUAAUAGGUACACAGUUGAAAUUGCUAAUGCCGGAACAAUAAUCGUGAUCUGAAAAUUUUGAAAUGAUAGCGGUUUUAAUAUAGUAAAAGAAAGAGAUGUGAACUUCAUUGCCAAAGUUUGUAAUAAAAAAAUAAAACUCUCAUUCGUUUAUGGCCCUAAUAUCAUUAUAACAGAAAAAUGACAGGUGGUUUAUAGGACUGUAGCACAAGCAACUUUUAAUAAAAUCACAAUUGGAAUAUUUAAAAAGAGAUGUAUUACUAUAGCGGGGCUAGAGGGAAAAAAAACAUUUGACCAGCACUUAGAUGCUCACUGUAUGGCAAAGGGAACAUAAAUAAGCGGACAUAAUCCAACAGCCUCAUGAAUUAGACCUCAAAUAAAAAGGUCUUAUAUUUGGCCCCAACACCAAAAGACCGAGGAUAUGGUGUUCUAUACAUCAACAUAGUGAAAAUUCUCCAAUAACCUUUCUUUUUACUGCUCAGUGCCCAAUGUGCAUCAAAAGAGCAAAUUAUCAACAGAAGCCUGUUACUGAACUGAAAAUUACAAUAAGAACAAGACAAACACUAUUAUUCAGAGUGCAAAGUGGGUGCAGAGAACUUGUGCAUACACCUAGGUGCCAACAAGUGACAACAAAUACUUCAAAUGUCUAACCAUCAAUUAUUGAAAAUGCAUGCGUCUCCUGGAUGUGAAGACCAAAGUCACCAAGCAAGCAAGUUACCUGCAAAUGCAUAAACGGCAACCCAUAAGAAUCAACACACUUGCUGAGAGAUGUCCUACCUGAAACUGACUGAAAUUUAAAUGUUUUAGUGUAUUUUGUCUAAGUUUGCUACAGAGUUUUUUAUCUUUUUCUAAAAAUGAUUCUUGUACCCAUUUUUUUACUAUCAUUUAUCCCUAGCUAUUGUCACUUUUCGAAAUUCCUUUACUGUGCUAAGAUUGUACUGAAAGAAGUAUUUCUACCUAGCCUGCAAGAUUCAGAACAUAGACAUAACUGAUCAACUACACUCGAAAAUACAAAGUCCAAGGAGUAGUCCAGUUACAUUAUCCAACUAUUUGCAUAUCCAGUUAACCUUAUUUCCAACAGAAUGCUUUAGUUCAAAAAAAAAAACGCUUCAUUCAUUUUCUUAUGGUUGCAACAAAAAAUACCUUUUAAAACAUGUACAGCGACCAGCACUGGGUUAGCGGGGGAAGGCUACGGCUGUACGGCAUGAAGACCUGGCAGCGGGGCAAGUGCGGAUGGCUACGGCAUGGAGGCAACCGGUGCGGCUGCGGCGUGGAGGCGACCGGCGGCGGGGCAGCAGUGGUGGGCUGCAACGUGGAGGCGAUUGGCAAUGGAGCAGCAUCGAAAGGUUGUGGCAUGGAGGCGACCGGCGGUGGGAAAGAUGGCAGAGAUGACCGACGUGGGCUGCGGACUGCGGUGAGGGGCGGUGACGGGGCAACAACAAAGGGUGACCGACGGAGAACUGCGACGUGCGCGAUGGCGAUUGGAGUGGGUUCAUGCGGUGGAGCUGUUCACGCGCGCG